CCUACGGGUGGCUGCAGUGGGGAAUAUUGCACAAUGGGCGCAAGCCUGAUGCAGCCAUGCCGCGUGUGUGAAGAAGGCCUUCGGGUUGUAAAGCACUUUCAGCGGGGAGGAAGGCGUUAAGGUUAAAAACCUUGGCGAUUGACGUUACCCGCAGAAGAAGCACCGGCUAACUCCGUGCCAGCAGCCGCGGUAAUACGGAGGGUGCAAGCGUUAAUCGGAAUUACUGGGCGUAAAGCGCACGCAGGCGGUCUGUCAAGUCGGAUGUGAAAUCCCCGGGCUCAACCUGGGAACUGCAUUCGAAACUGGCAGGCUAGAGUCUUGUAGAGGGGGGUAGAAUUCCAGGUGUAGCGGUGAAAUGCGUAGAGAUCUGGAGGAAUACCGGUGGCGAAGGCGGCCCCCUGGACAAAGACUGACGCUCAGGUGCGAAAGCGUGGGGAGCAAACAGGAUUAGAUACCCGAGUAGUC
rnacentral:rRNA from 1 species